GCGCAAGGAAGCUGAUUGGCGGG
rnacentral:siRNA from 1 species